UACUUCGGCUUUUUUUAAUAUAGAUCAUAGUAGUAUUUUCAUGCUGUAAAUUUUAGAUUUGAUAAGAUACGUUGACUUGAUAUUUUUUAUGGUUGUAUUUUAGAAAAAUAUUGAGGUGUGAAGUUAGAAUACGAGAUAUAACUGUUCCACAAUAUGUGUAUUGUUGCGUAAAUCUUGGCUCUCUACAUCAGCCUUCAAUCACUUGAAGUUUGUGAUCGGAUCGGAUUCGAGGUGUAUUUAUAGUGAUCACAUAAAUGGAAAGCUACAUAAAGAUACAUGAGACAAGAGGUUAACACUCUUCUAUGUGUUACCCUCUAUUAUUAGAUUGUAUUGUUGACACUGAUUUUGUGGCCCAAAUAUGUUAUUGCCAUCUUCAUGCCUCAUAAGUUGCUUCUACCAUGCAUGGAAGACAAAGACGUCACCGACAGACCCCAUAAGUUGCUUCUAUCAUGCAUGGAAGACAAAGACGCCACCGAUAGCAGCGACGCGCAUAGUGAGGUCAUUGCAUGGCAGGAUUUUGUUUUGAGUUGCUUGGAGACAUCCAGUGUCGGUGUUUUCCGACUUCAUUGCCCUGUUUUUUUAGUGAAAAUCUGAACAUAUGUAGUUGAUUUACAUUAUUUGAUCGCCCUGCAAUAUUUUUUGUCAUGGUUAUUACGAGCUUGAAUAUAGAAUAAGCAGCAUAUCUAUUUAAUAUAUGCAAUAAAA